UCAAUACUUUUACAAACAUUGUGUAAUGAACGUCAUGUUAUUAUAACAAAUAUAACUUUCAACAACGGAUCUCUUGGCUCUCGCAUCGAUGAAGAACGCAGCGAAAUGCGAUAAGUAAUGUGAAUUGCAGAAUUCAGUGAAUCAUCGAAUCUUUGAACGCACCUUGCGCUCUCUGGUAUUCCGGAGAGCAUGCCUGUUUGAGUGUCAU
rnacentral:rRNA from 1 species